AUAUAUAUAUAUAUAUAUAUAUAUAAUAUUAUCAUUAUUAUUUAUUUAUUUAUUUAUUAUAUUCUUUUUUUGUCGGAUAAAAACUGCUCUAGUUGUGAAAUUAAACAUCAAUUAAAAGUAAUGCAUUUAUAAAGUGUAUACUCUUAGCUUCAAUUUAGUAAUUUUUUUAAGGAUAUCUUGAUUAUGCACUAAUUAUAGCUGCUUUACACUUGGCAUCAAUCUGUUUUCGGUAUCGAAUGACAAUUUUAACCUUAUUAAAAGCCAAGUGAAAUGCGCCCAAGAUAUAUUAUCAGAUAGUGAUCGGAUCUCUCAAACUACAAAAGUUUGGUGGUGGUAUGGUUUAAAGGUAGAUGUCCCAGAUGUCCAUUCCCAGAGAGUACAAAGAUCUUACAGGUGACUUCAGUAAGGAAAAAUCAUCCCAGUCACAACUCCACAUAUUCUGGGACACUAUCUUCUAAAAAAAAACAACAACAACAAUGUCUACAACAUCUAAUUCACUGCAGUUUCAAACUAAAACAAACACUAAUAGACCAGGAAAAAAAAAAAAAAAUUGGUCAAACACUAAGAACGUUUAUUCUUCACGAAACAUGAUUACAGGGCAGUAUAUUGAUUAAUAGAUAAUUAUUUUCAUGUGGUUCCUAGCACAAUACUAUCGUUACUAAAUGAUAUGGAUUAUUUUGAUGGCAUAUGCUGAUAUUUUAAAGAGCAAGGUGGCCGAGUUUAACUUUGUAUUUUAGUAGAAUAACAAGAUAAGUGCUGUUAAAACCUUUAAGACCCAUUUCUGACACUCAGCCAAACAGAAAAACUAACACCUGGCGCAGAUAAUUAAAUAGUCUUCUAUAUUGGUUAUAAUAUCAGCCAAACAAAUAAAUUUUCAUGUUUGCAUCACAUAACCAGUUGAAUAUGUAUUGUUUUCCUGAAGUGGUAAAUUUGCCUAGUAGCUCACCAGUACAUUGUGCAGUCCCAUGAAACACGUGUCAAGAAAUUCAAUUGAAAAGCUCAAAGACUUGUAGUGUAGUUGUACUUUAUUAUAUGUAACACAUCAUUAAGCUCUCUGAACUGUCGACAUGUACAACAGCCAAGGUAAUAAAAUGUUGGCACGUUCAUCUGUUUUUGAGAUAAUCAAAGACCGAUUUUACUUAUGUUUUUCUGAUCACACUGGAAACCAGAAUUAAGGCAUAGAUGCAGUCAAGCUAAACAAUAUGCAUAUACUGUGUGAAUACAGAACACGUAAAUGCCAGGUGUAAACUUUACUUGGGAGCCUCAAUGACUGCUCACAAAAUCACAUAAUAAAAAAGAGGUUUAUAUAAGGGUGCUGCUAACUCAAAUCCUUUUAGUAACUUGAAAUGCAGUAAUAAUUUUUAAGUUUUUAAAUUGCACUUCAGGCUGAAAAAUUAUUAUAUUUCAGUCUUUGUUUUUCAUUUUUAUUGCAACAUGGCAUAUGAAAACAUUUUAGUUUGUACAGAUGUGCCAGAAUUUGUUCAUAUAGUGAACUGUGACAUUGAUUGUAGCGAUUCUUGAAUGAGCAGAUGAGUGAGUGGUUUUAAUCAUUGUAUGUACAUGAAUGUGUAAAACACAUAUUCGUUUAAUUUGAGUUAAGUUCAGAACAUGAGUAGAUUUUUUUUUUUUUUUUUUUUAUAAUCUAUUCAAACUGACAGUUGUUUUCACUUCUUGUUGAAUUAUCUCACUGGCAUUUAAAUCAUUGAAAUUCAGUAAAGAUAUACUGUACAGAUUGAUCCAAUUUCAUCUGAUUACUUGCUUAGUGAUUGCAGAGAUUCUGUACUUAAAGGUCAUAUUUUAAAAAUGAAUUACACUUGGGUGCAGUGUAAACAAAUUCUAAAGUGCAAAACAUAUCAGAUAAUGAGUUCUGAUUUAGCAUCAGUUUAGCUUUUUCUGAGUUUUUUUUUUUCCAUUUUUUUUUUCUGAGGAUUAUGUUUUUACCAUUUGCUUAUAUUUAUUCAGCAGCUGUUAGACUAGAGUAUGUCUAACCUACUGUCUUCAAACUUUUUUUGUAUUAUUUGAAACUAAAUUUUCAGAUCAGACGGUGUCUGCUAAAUUAUCUAAAAUAUAUAUUUUAGCUGAUAGUUGUUUUACUUAUGUUUACAUUUUGGGUUAAUUUUUUAUAGUAUUAGUGAGAUCUUAUCAGUUCUUUGAUGGAUAACCAAUUUAUUAUUGAGUGAAACUUUAUUUGUGCGUGUGUGUGAAACAUUUUAAGGUUUAAUUAUGUUGAUAAUGAUAUAACAAUAAUUCUAUAGUAGAAUGUUGUUAGGGUGUUGAAGUUGAAGUGUUAUUUCUUUACCACUAGUCUUUCCAAACAGAUAAGAGUAAUGUUUCUAUAUAGGUUUAUGAAAAAAAUAAAUAAAAAUAUUAAAAAGCCUGCUGAGCAAUUGUCCCAUAUGCCAUUACUCAAACUAGCUGGGUUAUGGGUCUGUUUCAACAUACAGCAAUGCUUUCCAACAUACGAUAGACUAUGUCUUAUUGUGCAUAUUUGACUAGGAUAAUACACAUACUUUUUUAAAAGGGAUGUAAUUUUUAUUUGCUAAUAUAUUCAUUGAAAUGGUUUAUCAAAUAUGUUCACUGAAACUAAAGUGUGUGGUUAAAAGUAGCUAGGUAACUGCCUCUGCCCCCAACCCCCCACUCUUUUUUUAAUUAUUAUAAACAUUGUCAGGUUUACUCAUUUAUGUGAGCAUUGAUAAGACUUUCUUUUCACAGUUUAUUUGUAUUCUUACUGACCCAAUAUGAAUAGUCAUUUUAUUUAUGUUGUAUGAUAGCAAUACUCAAAUUUUUUAUUGGUACUUUUUUGUAGAAUUUCAUUGAGAAAAACAAACAAAAAACAACAACACUGUUCUGAGGUUGUUAUGGUGGCAUCAACCGAGAAGCAUUUCCUCAUGCCAUGACAGACUAAGUGAAAGUGAAAGUCGUGACUUAUGCCAAGUAUGUUAACCCAUACUCAGAAUUGGGGCUCUGCAUUUAAUCCAUCCAAGUGCACACACACAGCAGUGAGAAGUGAACACACUGUGUACACAGACCCGGAGCAGUGGGCAGCUAUAUAUCCAGUGCCUGGGGAGCAACUGGGAGUUCAGUGGCUUCCUCAAGGGCACUUCAGCCAUGGGUAUUGAGGGUGGAAGAGAGCACUGUUCAUUCACUCCCUCCCACCUACAACUCCUGUCAGCACCGAGACUCAAACAUGUGACCUUCAGGUUACAAGUCCAACUCUCAACCAGUCCAACCAUUAGGUCACAGCUGCCCCAGACUAGGGUUCCAUGGUUUACCUCGCCAAGCUUCAAAAUACUGGCGAUGCCACAGUAAUUUCCAAACUACAGUACUACAGAACAGUUGUAUUCUCAUAUCUGUUAUCACUGUACUUUGUGACCAAACUUGGUGGUGCUUAAUAUGACCAACAUCGUUUGACUCCAUAUCUUGCACCAAAUCAAAAAUGUUUUUUAAAAAUACAUAAAUGGUAAAACUGUUCAGAAGUUGCAAGCAAAAAUAUAAAUUUUUCAUAUCUCUUUACCAAUAGUUGGUGCUGUGACUCGGCAAGUAUCAAGCUGCAGGCAGUAAAUAUCAAGGUCCAAGCACCAGAGCCGCAACCAGUAGAUAGUGAAGGAGAUAGAGGUGUAACAUGGGCUCUUUUGGUCAUGCAGCUGCAUUUUGAAUAAUUUUUAGAGGUUUGAUUGUGCUUGGUGGAAGUCCAACCAGAAGAGCAUUGCAGUCCAGAAUAAAAAUGACAAGGGCCCGGACAAGAAGUUGUGCAGCAUGCUCCAUUAGAAAGGGCCUGAUCUUUCUGAUGCUGUCCAAUGCAAACCUGGAAGAUUGAGUCUUUGUAAUGUGGUCUCUGAAGGUCAGCUGGUCAUCAAAGAUUACACCAAGAUUUCUGACUGAAGUUGAUGGGGUAAUUGUAGAAGAACCUAGCUGGAUGGUGAAAUCAUGUUGCAGAGUUGGAGUGGCAAAGAAGAUGGGGGGUGGGGUGGGUUGUGGUGGUGAGACAAAAAAAAUUGUUAGAUAGAGCAGCUUGGGUUGCGGAGUCUUCUGGACGAAUCCAGGUCUCAGUCAAGCCCAAGAUGCUGAGUGUGGAUUGUAAAUAAAAAAACAUAAAAUUAAGUCUGCUUUGUUGACAGCUGUCUGACAAUUUCAGAGACCCAUAGAGAAAGAAAGAGGUACAGUAUAGGAUGUAGAAAUAGGAUGCACAUUAGCAAGAUUGCAUUGCUGUCUGUGUGUGAAGUUAGAGCGUUGUCGAGAGACACGUGCGAGACACAUGCGAGAGGUCACGUAAACCGUUCCUAUGUAAGUUAAAUAUUAAUAAUAAUUAGAUAUUACAUAUAAUUUGGUAGUAAAAGAAAGUGCUACAUGUUUUAAUGCCGAAUAGAUUAGUAUAUUUAUUCUGUACAACAUUUGGAACUGCUUUUUAUCACUUAAUUAAAAGCACCACAAUAUAAAAUUGUCAUGUUAUAGGGACUACUGAACAGACAUUUAGAAGUCGAUUUUAAAAUGCUAAGUAUUUAAAAUUUAAAUAAAGCUAUGUAAACACUUGCAUUUUUACCACACUAUAAGUGUGUCCCAUCAGGUAAAGAAAAGUUUGACACAGACUUGUGGACUUCUUCCUAACUUGAACACUUGGGCCAAAUACAGGAAAUAUGUCAUAGAAUUAAGUAGUCAAGUGCAAAGAUGGUGAGUGUGGGUAUUUGGACAAGGCUUAUCCAGAGUGGCAUUCAAGGCUUAGUGUAUACCAUCAUGCAUCAUGUUGUGGAAAUACAUUGCAAGAGGUCACGGAAACCUUUCCAGUGUAAGUUAAAUAUUAAUAACAAUAAGAUAUUAAAUAUAAUUUGGUAGUAAAACAAAGUGCUACACGUUUUGUUGGUGUAAACGUGAGUAGCCUAUAUUUAUAAAUUAGAAAUUAAAGUGUGUCCCAUCAGCUAAUGAAAAGUUGUUCACACACUUGUGGUCUUCAUCCUCACUUGAACACUUGGGCUAAAUAUAGCUAAUAUGUCAUAGAAGUAGUCAAGUGAUCAAGUGCCAAGACCACAAGUGUGGGUAUUUGGACAAGGCAUAUAGUUUGCACUUAAGUUCAGGAUGGGAGCAAUGCAAAUAACAUAGGCUCCUCAACUGAAGUCAAUUAUUGUAUUGCCCGUAAGUGCAAUCAAAAAUACAAACUGCAGUGACAAUACAAAGUAGAAAAAGAUAUAGAUAGAAAACUAAAUAUUUCUGCCUAGCAGCAAACAAUAAUUUAAACAAUCAGGACAUAAUGACAGGUUUAACAAAUAUGUAAAAAAUAUAUUUUUACAAAAGUUACCUACUGCAGCUUUAAUUUAUUGAACCAUUUGCACAUAUUUGAAUCUCUGAUCAUUUCUGCUAUCUGAAUUUAUUUAUGUAUUUAUUAAACAUAUACAGUAUAAAUUGCUGUUUACUUGAAAUGAUGAAAAAUGUAUUUCUUAUUUUUUUCUUUCUUUGUUUUUUGAAUAUACAUGAUUGACUGAUUCAUUGGAAAAACUGUAUUUGCUCUUUAUGGUCCAGUGUUAUUGAAUGUCAUUAUUCUUAUUACAGUACCACCUUGAGACUGAUUUGCACCAAAUCUAAUACACAGCUUAAUCUAGAUUCCUUCUGCAUAUCUGCCAAAUAUCAUUGAACACAUAUAUACUCCUCCAAAUAUACUCCUCAAAAACUUUUACAGGUGAACAAUAGAGAGUGUGCUGGCAUACGGUUGUACAGUGUGGUUUUCUAGCUGCACUGUUGAGGAAAAAAAAGAUCUGCAGCGGGUAAUUAAAACUGCCCAGAGAAUCAUUGGUGCACCUCUUCCAAGCUUUGGGGAUAUAUAUUCCAGUAGGCUGCAGAGAUGAGCAGCAAGUAUCAGGGCAGAUCCUACACAUCCUGGCUAUGCCCUGUUUGACACCCUACCCUCAGGCCGGCUCAGGGUCAUGAGGGCGCGGACAAACCAAAUGAGAAACAGUUUUUUUCCAAAAGCCAUAAAUGAGCUGCUGAAAGGCUGAAAGCAUGGAAGACUAAUUAAUUUGGACUUGAAUUAUACUGUGUAUUUUUAAAUGUUUAUAUAUAUUUAUUUAUUGACUUGUUGAUAGAGUCACUUUUUUUUAUUCUUUUAGCUGCUAACUGAGUGAUUGAUGUCAUCUUAAUUUCGUUGUGUAGAGAUAUGCAAUGACAAUAAAACUAAACUAAACUAAACUAAAUAUCAGUCAGCCAUUCGGAUAUGACAUAAUAGGGUGCUGAAGUUUGAUUGGCUCCUGGUGGCCAUGUUGUUGUGUUUUUAUUUAUUUAUUUAUAUUUUACUUUAAAAGAUUCAUAUUGAUACAGACCAGCGUCUAUAUAGACUGAUACUUGUGUUUCUGAGAAAAACCAUUAUAUUAAUCGGUCUAAAAUCGCAAAAGCAUCUCAGGUCUAAUAAGUCCUUUUUGUUCAAAUCAGCCUUUGUUCAAGUUAUAUUAAAGCAUAUGUAACAAAGUCCAACAAUGACAGUGAAAGCUAAUUUUCUACUUCACUGAUCCAUAUGGUUAAUGCUUUAAUAAUGAUUUCUGGUUGUAGCACCCUCUAUAGGAGUCAUUUUUAUGUGUCUAUAUGUUUCAAGUCUUUUAUAACAUUUGGUUGUAGCAAGGUGAAGAUAAAGGUCUGUUUGUGAAAAAUAAAACAUCAAGACUAAUUCAUUCUUAUAUAUAUUUAACAAAUCAAAUAUGAUGGAAAAGGCAGAAAUUAAAUUGAAAAUGAAGACAGAAAUUUCAUUUUGCUUCUUGCCCUGAAGGAUCUUGAGUAUCUUAAUGUGCAUGGAUAUAAUGCAGUGUUUGGCAAAGUAUUUAUUUUGUUAAAUGAAAAUAUGUUCAGUUUGAAUUCUGGAUUAGUCUUCAAAUCUCUUAUUUCUGUAGUUGCAGUAGUUGUUCUAAAGUAGGUUUUAAAUGUAUAGCAUUGUGUUUUUUCUUUCUUUAUUUCUUACUUUUAAUUGUGUAAAUCUGGUGAAAACAAAGGUAAGAUAAAUAUUUUACUAAAAUACUUAUGCAUAGUUUAUGUAAUGUGUACUUUUUAUUAUAUUUAUAAGCUAAAGUACACUAUAUGUGUCCUGCAAAGAAUCUACAUCACACUCUCCACAUGGGUCUGCAUCCGAUGCUGAACCUUCAUUAGAGUUCAAAACAGAGGAAUUUGAAAACCAAAUUUCAGCAGAGUUGCCACUUGCAACUCAACCUGUGCCUACAUCAAUCUCCACACCUGAAUCAAUUACUGAUACAACAGAAUUCAAAGAACCCUCAUUAGUGUCCAAAGAAGAGAAAGAAGCGAAAAAGAAGAAACCAAAACUUCUUAAUAAAUUUGACAAAACAAUCAAAUCUGAGAUCGAUGCUGCAGAGAAAUUACGCAAGAAGGAGAAAUUUGAGGAAUCUCUCUG